UACGUAGGGUGCGAGCGUUAAUCGGAAUUACUGGGCGUAAAGCGUGCGCAGGCGGUUCUGAAAGUCAGCUGUGAAAGCCCCGGGCUUAACCUGGGAAUUGCGGUUGAAACUACAGGGCUAGAAUCUGGCAGAGGGGGGUGGAAUUCCACGUGUAGCAGUGAAAUGCGUAGAGAUGUGGAGGAACACCGAUGGCGAAGGCGGCCUUCUGGACCAGUACUGACGCUCAUGCACGAAAGCGUGGGGAGCAAACAGG
rnacentral:rRNA from 1 species